CCGCACUAGCCGGGGAGUUAGCGGUGCCCUGUACCUGCAAUCCGCUACAGCAGGGGUUAUAGACUCAUAUGAGGGAAUAUAAUGUGCUGACUACUGGAGCGCGAAAGCGGCGAUGAGGAGUCGGUCUUGCGCAACAUAGCGCCGUGAACCAUGUCAGGCGGGGAACCGAGCAGCAUUAAGCGGAUAGUCUGUGUGUGCCGCGAGGGUGCCGACUCCGAGCAGGCUACGCGCAUACCGGGCAUAUUGUAUUUUCGACAUGAGUUGUGCUG
rnacentral:SRP_RNA from 1 species